CUGAGCCCUGGAGACUGAAUUCCUCUGUUUAUUCACAGAAUGUAUACCAUAUUGGCAGUGGCAGGGCAAGCUUCCCCAUACUGCCCUGCCAACAUGCCUCACUUCUGGCCCACUGGGAUCAUCAAUGCAGUUAAUUUCCAUAUCCGUUUAGUACUUGGCCUCU
rnacentral:sRNA from 1 species